rnacentral:misc_RNA from 1 species
GUUGGGACCAUGUGAUAUUACACAUGUAUAGUCCUCAGAAAGCUCAAUCUCACUUGCAGAGAGAGAAACAAUUCGUCCAUUGGCAGAGCCAACAGACAUUGGAGUCAAGUUCAAAUCAGUAUGCAAAGAGUUGUUUGAGUUUGGGCUUCCUCCAGAAAAUUGCAUCGGAGUAUUCACUUGGGUAGUAAGAUUAUUCAAGCAGAAAUU